rnacentral:rRNA from 1 species
GUUUCCAAAAACAUGGCUUCGUGUUAGUUCUUAAAUACGAAGUCGGACCUGCCCAGUGAGUUUUAAACGGCCGCGGUACUCUGACCGUGCAAAGGUAGCAUAAUCAUUUGCCUUAUAAUUGAAGGCUGGAAUGAAUGGUUUGACAAGAAUACACCUGUCUCUUUCUGAUUCUUUAGAAUUUUAUUUUUAGGUGAAAAAGCCUAAAUAUUAUUAAAAGACAAGAAGACCCUAUCGAGCUUUAGAGAAAUUGAUGGAAUUUAAGUUGAUUAAUAUUAAUAAAAAAGGAACUAUUAAACACUUUGGUUGGGGCAACCGAGGAGUAAACAAAGCCUCCUCUAAGUAUAUAAAUCUUACUCGUAUUGAUCCAAAUAUUUUGAUCAAAGGAAUUAGUUACCGUAGGGAUAACAGCAUUAUCUUUUUUGAGAGCCCAUAUCGAAAAAAAGGUUUGUGACCUCGAUGUUGGACCAGAAUGUCCUAAAGAUGCAGAAGUCUUAAGGGUUGGUCUGUUCGACC